UGAGACAAGUUUCUUGAUAAAAAUAUAACGAAUUUGUUAUAUACGCCAAACAAGUGAUUAAUGAAAUUUUAUAUAAAUGAAAAAAUGCAAUUUGUAAAAAUUGUAUUUGAAAUUUAUAUAAUUUAGUAUUAAAUUUGGUAUAACUAUUAUAUUCAUGUGUGAUCCAUUUCAAGGACAUUCUCAGGUGGAGAGUUCGACUGGGGCGGUACAUCUCUCAAAUAAUAACGGAGGUGUCCCAAGGCCAGCUCAGUGCGGACAGAAACCACACAUAGAGCAAAAGGGCAAAUGCUGACUUGAUCUCGGUAUUCAGUACGUACAGAGACAGCAAAAGCUCGGCCUAUCGAUCCUUUUGGUUUAAUGAGUUUUUAACAAGAGGUGUCAGAAAAGUUACCAGAGGGAUAACUGACUUGCGGCAACCAAGCGUUCAUAGCGACGUUGCUUUUUGAUCCUUCGAUGUCGGCUUUUCCUACCAUUGUGAAGCAAAAUUCACAAAGUGUUGGAUUGUUCACCCAUUCAAGGGAACAUGAGCUGGGUUUAGACCGUCGUGAGACAGGUUAGUUUUAACCUUCUGAUAAAAAUGAUGUUAUUACAACAGCAUUUCUGCGUAGUACGAGAGGAACCGCAGGUACGGACCAAUGGCACAAUACUUGUUCGAGCGAACAGUGGUAUGAUGCUACGUCUGCUGGAUUAUGCCUGAACGCCUCUAAGGUCGUAACCAAGCUGGAUGUAAUGAUAGUAAUGGGGUAAUUGCAUUGCGCGGCUUAAAACAUUAAAAGUUAAUUAUUUUUUUAAUUAACGAAAAUGUAAUUUAUGAAGCCGAUUAUAUAGUAAACAGUUUAUUGGGUUGUAUUAUUAGCUUCCCUAUUAAACUAUACUAUAUAAAUGACUAUUAAAAUGCGCAGUGACAAUACCCAGAAUCAAUUGUAAACUACUUUGGUAAC
rnacentral:rRNA from 1 species